AGCGAACGCUGGCGGCAGGCUUAACACAUGCAAGUCGAGCGGCCGUAGCAAUACGGCAGCGGCAGACGGGAGAGUAACACGUGGGAACGUGCCCUUUGGUUCGGAACAACACAGGGAAACUUGUGCUAAUACCGGAUAAGCCCUUACGGGGAAAGAUUUAUCGCCAAAGGAGCGGCCCGCGUCUGAUUAGCUAGUUGGUGAGGUAACGGCUCACCAAGGCGACGAUCAGUAGCUGGUCUGAGAGGAUGACCAGCCUCACUGGGACUGAGACACGGCCCAGAAUCCUACGGGAGGCAGCAGUGGGGAAUAAUGGACAAUGUGCGCAAGCCUGAGCCAGCCAUGCCGCGUGGAUGAUGAAGGCCUUAGGGUUGUAAAGUCCUUUCGGCGGGGAAGAUAAUGACGGUACCCGCAGAAGAAGCCCCGGCUAACUUCGUGCCAGCAGCCGCCGUAA
rnacentral:rRNA from 1 species